CCUACGGGUGGCAGCAGUGAGGAAUAUUGGUCAAUGGACGCAAGUCUGAACCAGCCAUGCCGCGUGCAGGAAGACUGCUCUAUGAGUUGUAAACUGCUUUUGUACGAGGGUAAACGCAGAUACGUGUAUCUGUCUGCACGUAUCGUACGAAUAAGGAUCGGCUAACUCCGUGCCAGCAGCCGCGGUAAUCCGGAGGAGUUAAGCGUUAUCCGGAUUUAUUGGGUGUAAAGGGUGCGUAGUCGGGCGGAUAAGGUAGAGGUGAAAUCCCGGGGCUCAACUUCGGAAUUGCCUCGGAUACUGUUAGGCUAGAGAGCAGGUGCGGUAGGCGGAAUGUAUGGUGUAGCGGUGAAAUGCUUAGAGAUCA
rnacentral:rRNA from 1 species